AUGUGUGAAACUAUUGCUUCUCUUGCCCCUGUUCUUGAGAUUGAUAGUAUUACUAAUGAAAAACUUAAAGCUAAAAUGGGGGUCGGAGAUGUUGAGAGGAUUCCUGCUACUAAAAUAACUUGCAAAGAUCUGCUAAUCUUCAUCGUUACUACUAAGAUGGAUUCUGUAGUGGAGAUAAGAUCGUACAAUGAAUUCAAGACGUUGCGAGCUGGAAGAAAAUCGUUGUGUCCUUAUGUAAGAACUUUGGAUCUAGGGGCAAUUACAAUAAAUUUAAUUAAUGCUAAACUUUUGUACUUUUAUAAAAAUUGUUUUUUAUCAUUAUACUAUCUUAAUUGUUCAUUACAAUUGUCUCUUUAUGUAGUUAGCAUAGUUAACUCAUAUAACAUUGCUUUUCUCCAAAACAAAGAUAUUUAA
rnacentral:rRNA from 1 species